UAUUUUAGGGAUAACAACAUAAUGUAUCAUGAGCCACCCUGAUUCAAAUCCACCCUGAUUCCCAGAUUCUUUCUUUGUUUUCAGACUCGUUGUUCACUCCUGUCCUUGUGGGUCCUGGAAACACUUGGCAGCAACAAUACCAAAGCAGGGGAAGAAAAGCCAUUUUCUGGAGAUCACCAGCUCUGGAGGGGACUGGGGAAGAUCCAUUUGCUAGUGAUUUCAAAGUCCUUGCUUAAGACCUCUCUGCCACGGUACCUGUUUGAAGGGUACUAGGGGGUGUCCUGGGGGUGCCCAGUGUUCUGGGACCCUCAUCCACACAGCGCUGGAGACCUGAGGGUAGCAGAACCAUCAGCCCCCACAGGAAUGAUUCUCCUGCUUGUGGAUCACAAACUUGGCUGCAGGACAAAGGGCCAUUCAUCACGCUCCAAAGUGCUGCAAAGGGCUCCCGUGUUCCACCGGAGAAGUGCCUGCGUUCGAAUCCAAGCGAGAAAGUUUUCUCCCUGUGCUUGAGGCCACUCCAGAGAGUAAUGGAGCUUGGCGCUGCUUUAGGAUCCUUUUGGAUGAGUUAUAGGGGCAAGCACCUUGUCAUGCGCCACUCGGUCUCCAGCAAAUCUGGGUAAGUAGGGCGCUCAGCAAAAUAGAUUCCUUCCAGCCUCCUGUGGCUUGCCUUUCACCCUGAGGACAUGCUUGGCUCUGCAGAGUGCCACCAG
rnacentral:lncRNA from 1 species